rnacentral:lncRNA from 1 species
AGGGUUGGUUUUGUGAAGCGGCGGCUAGGUUUUUUAGCUGAGAGUUGAGAGUGAGAGAUUUGGAGAGUUUAGGGAUUGUGAGGAGUGUUUCUGUUAUUAUUUAUUAUUUUUUCUUUUUGUCGUUUUUUUCUUUUUUUCUUUCGUACAGAGAGAAGGGAGGUAGUUGGUAUUUGCUACUGAGUGGAGCAGGCUAAUUCGUGAGUGGAGCAGGGAUGAUAUGAGAGAGACGUUAGGGAAUAUUUUGAAUUUGUUUAUUUAUUUUUUCUGUACAAAUGGAAUCUAAUGCAAUAUUAUUUACAAAUUAUAAAAACUAAUUAAUAUCUAAUCUAAACUAAAUAAUAAUAAAAAAAAAGAAAACCAACUAAUAUUUAAUUACCUAUCUAAAAUUUAAAACUAAUUAAUAUUUAAACUAAAAUUAACUACUAUUUUAAAAAAUCUAACUAAUAUAUAAAAAAAACUAAUUAAUAUU